rnacentral:rRNA from 1 species
GACGAACGCUGGCGGCGUGCCUAAUACAUGCAAGUAGAACGCACAGUUUAUACCGUAGCUUGCUACACCAUAGACUGUGAGUUGCGAACGGGUGAGUAACGCGUAGGUAACCUGCCUGGUAGCGGGGGAUAACUAUUGGAAACGAUAGCUAAUACCGCAUAAUAUUAAUUAUUGCAUGAUAAUUGAUUGAAAGGUGCAAUUGCACCACUACCAGAUGGACCUGCGUUGUAUUAGCUAGUAGGUGAGGUAACGGCUCACCUAGGCGACGAUACAUAGCCGACCUGAGAGGGUGAUCGGCCACACUGGGACUGAGACACGGCCCAGACUCCUACGGGAGGCAGCAGUAGGGAAUCUUCGGCAAUGGACGGAAGUCUGACCGAGCAACGCCGCGUGAGUGAAGAAGGUUUUCGGAUCGUAAAGCUCUGUUGUAAGAGAAGAACGAGUGUGAGAGUGGAAAGUUCACACUGUGACG